rnacentral:misc_RNA from 1 species
GAUGAAGAACGUAGCGAAAUGCGAUACUUGGUGUGAAUUGCAGAAUCCCGUGAACCAUCGAGUGUUUGAACGCAAGUUGCGCCCGAAGCCUUUUGGCCGAGGGCACGUCUGCCUGGGCGUCACGCAUCGCGUCGCUCCCCACAAUUCUCCGUAAAGGGAACAUGUGUUUUGGGGGCGGAUAUUGGUCUCCCGUGCUCAUGGCGUGGUUGGCCGAAAUAGGAGUCCUUUCGAUGGACGCACGAACUAGUGGUGGUCGUAAAAACCCUCGUCUUUUGUUUCGUGCUGUUGCUCGCAAGGUAAACUCUUUAAAAACCCCAAUGUGUCGUCUCUUGACGACGCUUCGACCGCGACCCCAGGUCAGGCGGGACUACCCGCUGAGUUUAAGCAUAUCAAUAAGCGGAGGA